CAAGCGGUGGAGCAUGUGGUUUAAUUCGAAGCAACGCGCAAAACCUUACCAGCGUUUGACAUGUCCGGACGAUUUCGGAAAACAGAUCUCUUCCCUUCGGGGACUGAAACACAGGUGCUGCAUGGCUGUCCUCAUCUCGUGUCGAGAGAUGUUGGGUUAACUCCCGCAACGAGCGCAACCCUCCCCUUUAUUUACCAUCAUUCAGUUGGGGACUCUAAAAGAACCGCCGGUGAUAAGCCGGAGGAAGGGGGGGAUGACGUCAAGUCCUCAUGGCCCUUACACGCUGGGCUACACACGUGCUACAAUGGCGGUGACAGUGGGCAGCAAUCCCGCAGGGGUGAGCUAAUCUCCAAAAGCCGUCUCAGUUCGGAUUGUUCUCUGCAACUCGAGAGCAUGAAGGCGGAAUCGCUAGUAAUCGCGGAUCAGCAUGCCGCGGUGAAUACUUUCCCAGGCCUUGUACACACC
rnacentral:rRNA from 1 species